rnacentral:rRNA from 1 species
GGCCAGACUCCUACGGGAGGCAGCAGUGGGGGAUAUUGCACAAUGGGGGGAACCCUGAUGCAGCGACGCCGCGUGGGUGAAGAAGCGCCUCGGCGCGUAAAGCCCUGUCAGCAGGGAAGAAAAUGACGGUACCUGACUAAGAAGCCCCGGCUAACUACGUGCCAGCAGCCGCGGUAAUACGUAGGGGGCAAGCGUUAUCCGGAAUUACUGGGUGUAAAGGGAGCGCAGACGGCAGUGCAAGUCUGGAGUGAAAGCCCGUGGCUUAACCACGGGACUGCUCUGGAAACUGCGGCGCUGGAGUACGGGAGGGGCAGGCGGAAUUCCUGGUGUAGCGGUGAAAUGCGUAGAUAUCAGGAGGAACACCGGCGGCGAAGGCGGCCUGCUGGACCGUGACUGACGUUGAGGCUCGAGAGCGUGGGGAGCAAACAGGAUUAGAUACCCGGGUAC